ACCAGGCUGCGCCGGCGGCCGUGGAUGCCGUCGAUCGUACUGUAAUGGUUCAAUAAAGUGUCUUCCUACUCAGCAGCCCAGUGGAUAUGGAUUUAGUUUUCAUCUGUCUUUGGAUCUGACCCCUAAACAUGGUGUUUUUUCCCCUCCUGAGAGACUGCAGUAAACAACAGUGCACGAGCUUUGUCCAGAGUGCAUGAUUACUCCUACUGUGGCACUCUUGCAUAACUGAAGAGCCUGCAACAUGUUGAAACUUGGUUUUAAAUAGUCCUAUGAAAAAACAAAGCUGCCCAUCUGGUACAUUAGCCCACAGGCAGAGUGAGUGUCCUCCCCUGUCCUGAUCUUGCACUUUACAGGCAUUUUAUGUUUAGCUGGUGCUGCAUGUACGUAAAUGUGACUAAAACUAAACACAGGCUGUCAAAGCAAGUGAUUCUGCUUCAAGGGAGGCAAGUAAUAAGUCAAGUUUUACAGUUCUCUAGUUACGACUUCUGAAAAUGUUUAUGUGGAAGGCUGCCUUUCAGCGGCUUCAUCAGCCCUUCAUUUAGCCUGUUCAUUUGCCUUCCACAUUGCAGUUUGCAGAUUAUCUAUACUGGUGGAACUUAGAACCAAGGAAUGGGACACUUGAAAAUGUUUCACAGAGUAAAGCGGAACUGUCAGGAAAUCCCUCAGUUAGGCUCAGCGUAGGAAAUGGUGGAAGUUUCUGAAGUUUCUGAUCAUGAAGUUGUUUACAACAAACAGUAAUCCUGCCUGUGUUGGAGAAAGAGCAAUGUGAAACGACAGUGAGUAAAAUAAUUGAGGCUGAGCUAAUUGGAAGCAAUUAGCUACUGCUUGUUUUACUGACAUGACUUUCUGGAUUUGCUUUACAAUGGAACUUAAGAGGAUCAGCAGUGACUGUCAUGUCUGCGAGUGUUGCCUACAACCUUUUGUUUGUGUUUGUUUGAUAACUUUCUGCAUAGUUUACCA
rnacentral:lncRNA from 1 species